GUCUUUGGUGUGGCACGGUCUUUCGUAUCACGCAGCGGAACUCCCCGAACUGCAGCAGAAGUUUUACGUCAUGGGCGGCUUUCCGGGCGUCGUGGGAGUCAUCGACGUCACCCACGUUCGGAUCCGUGCACGAGGAACUGUUCGUGAACAAGCACUACGGUCACUCUAUCAACUUGCAGCUGAUUGUGGACGCGCGCUCGAGGAUCCUGAAUGUGGUGCCAUGUGACCCGGAAGCAUCCACGAUUCCUACGUGCUGUCGCAGAGCAGUGACGGGGAGAACGUCGCGACGGGCGCGUACGGCGGCCUGACCAUUGCGGCUACCCGUGCAGGGCGUGGGUGAUAGCGCCUUUCCGAUCGCCGACUGCGCCAGUGGAGUGUGCGUACAACCAGGCUUACGGAACAACACGGUUUGUAAUCGAAAGCCUGCAGGUGGUAUGCUGGGCCUCCAAGCUGGUUCUGGACAACACGGUCCUGGUCAGCGUAGGCCUGAUGGUGGUGGUCGCCCUUCUAACGGCAGCAGUGCUGCCUCAGGCUGAAGGGGCGCCUCAUCCUCGUCCAAUUGCCAGUCCAAAGGCUGGUAAUCUUUCGUUCCCCGGACUUCGGCAUCUUGAGGAAAAUGACCCCGGGGGCCACAAAGACCUUGUGGCCGAAGGCCCAACCUUUCGGGCCAACCACGUUAGUUGCUGGCCGCACAUUGACUGGUGCUUUGCU